rnacentral:tRNA from 1 species
GGAGGGCUCGCAUAGUGGCCUAGUGCGGCGGUCUUGAAAACCGCUGUCAGGUGAUCCCUGACCGUGGGUUCGAAUCCCACGCCCUCCGCAA